GGAAGUGCUCCAGGACGGGGGUGCGGCCACCACUUCUGAGAUCUUUAAGAUCAUUUUACUUCAAAAUACAGCUCUUUGGUCACGCAGGGAUUUCAGCGGGCCAUCUCGGGACUUUUCAGUUGACUUCUCAGUGCGGACUUCCUGUGAAGCCCCUCUGAGGACCCUGAAGCGUUUGCUAUGACAACCAUGGCGGGGCAAGACCAACCCGGGCCUCCUUUCUGCCUCGCCGGGCUUGGGGAGUGAGGGACCUGGACCAAAGGCUGGAACCCGCAGUGGCUGCCACACAUUCCCUGGCUGUGGACUGGCCUGUCGUCGGUGAUGAAGUUUGGUUGGGUGAACUAACUCAGAGGCAGUCUGUGCCUGCAGAAAUGACCCGCCAGCACACUCAUACCCACCCUACUCAUGAAGCCCAGAGCAAAUCCUCUGUCCUGCCUGCUGUAGAGAAAGACCACUGCAUGCUGGGUUAGACUGGACGGCUCCGUAGGGAACCCAGAAGAGUUCUUUCAGACCCCAAAGUUAACACCGUAAGGAACCAGAGGCUUCUCAGAACUUGGCAACAUCCAUUGGCCAUGUCUUCCAGAUUGUGGUGGAGAAUUUCAGCAUCUCCUGAGACACAGAAGAAAACUUUGAGAACACCUUUUUGGCAACUGAGAAAACAUCAGUCCAGUGGCCCCAACACACCUUUCGUGGGCUGAAGGUGCGAUGGAAAUGAACUUGAGAAUCAUUUUUCAACCUAGGGACACUGUAUAUAAUCUGCCCAGCUCUGAGCAGCCCAUGUUUCAUGCUUAUACAGUCUUUACAGUCCUUCAGAGAACUCCGUCGUUGGUAUUAAAAUCUAGUUGCAGUUUUAAGAUUACACUCACUAGAAAGUUCCUGCUUUUAUCCUGUUCCUAGUUUUUCCGCUUGGCUGCUUCUGGGGUCCCAAGAAUGUACAGCCAGUUUUCAAUUUACCAUGACUCAACCAACAGUUGUGGGUUUCCUGGAAUACUAAAUGCUUUGUUUUGUAUUCAGGUCAUUUCAAAGCCAGCCUUGGCUGCAUAGUGAGUUUGAAGUCUGCUUAGACUACACGCGGGACCCUGUCUUAAAAAAAAAAACAAAAAACAAAAACAAAACAAACAGUAAACCAGGUUUGAUGGCAUACCCCUCCCAGCACUCAAGAGGCAGAGGCAGGCAGAUCUCUGUGAGUUCAAGACCAGCCUGGUCUACAGAGUGAGCUCCGAGACAGCCAGGGAUGCACAAAAUAGAAAAGGAGUUUAUUAAGAUUUAACUCCAUUGUAAGUAAAGCUAUGGAAAAUUUUAAGCUCCACUCAGAUAGAAACCAUUGACGGGGGCGUCAUUAGGAAACUAGUGGGAGACAACCAGUCAUCUUGCCCUGCCGUUCUAGCCAAGGGUCUAGCUCUAGCAGCGGUUUGUAAGGUAUUGCUUCCUUGCUGUGGCACGCAGGAAAAGGAAAGGAGGCUUGUACUUGUGCCCUCUUUGCUCAACCCUUUGCAGAUAUUUUCUUUUAGUAUUGAAGAAGCCAUGAGGUUCCAUUGUAAGAGAGGAAACUGAGGUCUGAAGAAGGGAAGCUCUGAGCUGCCCGCCCUGAGCUCUGCAUGUCUGAACCUCAGUAAAGUGUGUGUUUGCCCAGCGUUUCAGCCUCCUGGGAGUCUGUGAAGCCCCCUUUUUGUAAAUGAGGAAACUGAAGCUCAGACAGCGUAGGUUGCCAGAGGCCACAUGCCUAGUAAGGACUGAACUCUGGGAUCCUCAGCAAUUAAUUAUAAAACCCUAUCUGCCACUGAACAGGUACCUACCUACAAACCCCAAAUGAGAUGUUCAUUAUAAUUCCAUGCAGGGUGAGCACUGUCCAAAUCCCUGAUAGAUUUGCCUCUGACUACUCAGAAGUACCUACGGAAGCAAGAGGACCACCCACCAAAGUUGUGGGCCAGCCUGGGCUAUGGAAUAAAACCUUAUCUCAAAAUAAGGGCUCAGAAGAAGGCUCAGCCAGUAAAGGCACUUGUUAUCGAGACUGAUGACCUAAAGUCAGUUCCUAGGAACCGCAUGGUGAAGGAGAAAACAACUCCCACAAGUUGUUCUCUGGCACUAUGUGUGUGCUGUAUGUGUACUCCCCACACACAUACCAAGUACAUAUAGAAAUAUAAAAAAUUUUAUAAAGAAAGCAAACCGCUGGACAGGGGUGGCAAGUGCCUUAAAUCCCAGCACUCAGGAGGCAGAGACAGGUGGAUUACUGAGUUCAAGGCCAGGAGGCAGAGACAGGUGGAUUUCUGAGUUCAAGGCCAGCCUUGUCUACAGAGCUAGUUC